CUCAAAUGACAAAAAGGGGUCCGAGUACUGAUGUUCGUCUAAACCCAAAAGCAAGAAUGCAAGUUGCAACAUUCCAUGUACAGCAUCGGUCUUGGCCAUUUAAUUUUGCAAAUGUGCUAGGUAAAAUGGAGAAUCCUCUUCCUAGAGCUGGAAUCUUUCAAACUGUGAAUUUCUCUAUAAUUGUUUUUUCAAAAGUAACAUCCUUGAACUCGUUAACUUGGAAAUAAUGCCAAACUAUCAAAUAGUCAGAAAAACUCAAAUCUUUAACCACAAUUUCACCUUCAAAUCAAUGUUGAAAUUCAUAUAUUAAAGUUUCAAACAAGCACACAGACACACCCACACACCCACACACACCCUCCCAAUCUAACUUUGGGGACGUGGGGAUGUUCGGGAUAAAAAACUGUUUUCAUUCCCCUUUAACUCCUGAACAAAUAUAAUUAUGCCAGUCCGUAGACCAAAAUGAUUGUUAAAAUAAGCCCCAUAUCUUAGCCCUUGCCUUUCUGAGGAUUUCAUAAUAGGAUGACAGAACAUUUGAUCAAACAGGAGAAAAGUGGGAAAUAACUUAAAUUAGGGAGAAAAGCUCCCUAAUUUGAAUACAAAUGUCAGAUAUAAGUUGGUAAUGAUCAGCAGUCAGCUGUAGAACUUGAUAGAAACUUAGCUAAGCCAUUCCUCAGCCCUUCCAUUGGCCCUUGUGAUUGUAUCCUAACCCAUUUUCCUCCAUAGCAUUUCUUUUCCCCAUGAUCUUUCCAAAGAAUUCACCUAUAGAUCUCAAUUCUCUCUCGCCAUGCUAAGAUUAUCUUUCUUACUACCAAUUCCUUCUAGGCUCCAUCAUUUCUUUCCUAACGUCUUCUGAUUCGACUUUGAGACAACCCAGCACUGUGGAAUCUUUGCUGCGACUUCUCCAAUGGACAGAUGUUCCGUUCCAUCCUCUUAACGAGGUUUCCACCCAAACAUAUCGGAAUAAGUGGUUGCAGGCAAGCAAAGCAUAUGAUGGUGCCCCUGUGGUUUUCAGAUGGCUCAGCAGAUGUAUUUGGUUCAAGAUUGGAGGGGGGGUGGCAGACAUACAGUUUGGCCAGUGAGGUGAGUGGCUGUGGCAGACUGCAUGAUGGGUCGAAACCCUUCUUCUCAGACUCUUCCAUGAGAUGCUGGAAGUCUUGAAUAGGAAAGCAAGGAAUCAGGAUCUCAGAGGCUAAGUUCUGCGCCUUAUUUACAGGAAUCAUAACCUGUUGUCCUGACUUUUCCCAAAAAGGAGCAUUUACUAAACAACAAUGGCAUUUCUUCGGGCAGGCUAUGAAACAAAGUGAGGCAAAAGGAUACAGAAUGUUACCGCCUUUGGGAUCCCAUGCAAUCUAGUGAAGAUACUGCACAAACUGUGGAGAGUUCAGCGGUUCCUCAGCUGCAGCCCACACCUUUCUCUGCUUCUACUAACUCUUCUUGCCCCUUUUAAUGAGAUGGCCAAAGAGAAACACCCCUUCCUUAAUGCUGCAGAUGCCAAGAACCAGCCCCAUGGCCUGGGACAAACCUCCUGCCCAAACCCCUUGUUUCUGGGUCUUGUCCUCACUGCUGUCAAAUGAUAGCUAAACCCCAGCAUGGAGGCAUGCUGUGUUGCUGUCCUCCCAAGGAACAGCUUUUGCACCCAUGCUCUUCCACCUCAGCUGCCUCUUUACCAAAUUCAACAUGACAUUCCAAAUCAAUAAAAUGUCACUUUUAUUUUGAAGCUAAGUUUCA
ensembl:lncRNA